rnacentral:lncRNA from 10 species
GCGCUGCAGGCUGCGACUUAUCAGGUGCUUUAUAGCUCCCUACCUGCUAUGUGAGACAGGAACACCAGAUGAGGCUGAGGACUGGAUAUUUCCCUCUCCUCCUAUGAAAGAUUCCGCUCUGGAGCCAAAAAAACAGUUUUUCUUGGCGUGUGUAUGUGAAAUCCUGGUGGAAUUCCUUGAAGUAAAAUCCAUGUAAGUUUUGGAGCCACCUAAGAUUGUGACAUCCAGGAGUUUCUUACAGUUAACACUAGCACAAGCUCAGUCUCUAGGUCUCAAAAUGACCAUGUAAGUGUUCAGUUUGUGGAUCCAGACGCUUCUGCUCCAGGCUCAUUGAACUUGGACUUUUGAGUUAAUUCUGUAAUGAGUUAAGACUUUGGGAGACCGUUGGGAAGGCAUGAUUAUGUUUUGCAAUGUGCGAAGGAGGAAGAUUUACCUGCUUCCAUUUCACCUGCUGCCAUGAUUGUACAUUUCCUGAGACCUCCCCAGCUAUGCCUCCUGUACAGCCUGAAGAACUGCCUCGUUGACCAAUACAACUUAGCCUUUUGAUUCAUUGUUUGGAAAAUGCACUCCCUCUCCAUUAUCUGAAAGUUGUGAAGGCUGUAAAUCAACAGAAGAACCACCUGUAGAAGUACAUUUCCACAGGAGGUGAGAAAGCUACAGAAAUUGCACAAAGCUGGUUCUAAUGAUCUUCCCAUUCUGCAGCAUCAAGCACAAUCCAACCUGGAGUCCUGCUGACAAGAAAUUCUAAAAAAUGCAUCUACAAAGCUUUCCCAUGCAAUGUAGGGGAGAAUGCAGAUGUGGGUGUGAACAAUGCUGAUCUGACAAUUCACAAUAAGGUACAAA